rnacentral:rRNA from 1 species
UACAGAGGUCUCAAGCGUUGUUCGGAUUCAUUGGGCGUAAAGGGUGCGUAGGUGGCGCGCUAAGUCAGGUGUGAAAUUUCGGAGCUUAACUCCGAAACUGCAUUUGAUACUGGCGUGCUUGAGGACUGGAGAGGAGACUGGAAUUUACGGUGUAGCGGUGAAAUGCGUAGAUAUCGGGAAGAACACCCGUGGCGAAGGCGGCUCUCUGGGACGGUACUGACGCUGAGACGCGAAAGCGUGGGGAGCGAACAGG